GUAACUUCAAGAUUUUGUGGUGGAUUUAGAGUUUUGCCGCAGGGGAAUAACAGCCGGUGAUGGAUUUCCAUUCCGUUGACGUCUAGAUUUCUUGCCAAACGCUCCUUCCUGAGAAGAGCUGCUUGCUGAGAAGGCUGGGUGGCC